rnacentral:rRNA from 1 species
UGCGGAGGGUGCGAACGUUAAUCGGAAUCACUGGGCGUAAAGCGCGCGUAGGCGGUUUGUUAAGUGGGAUGUGAAAUCCCCGGGCUUAACCUGGGAAUUGCAUUUCAAACUGGCCGACUAGAGUACGGUAGAGGGAGGUAGAAUUUCCUGUGUAGCGGUGAAAUGCGUAGAUAUAGGAAGGAAUACCAGUGGCGAAGGCGGCCUCCUGGAUCGAUACUGACGCUGAGGCGCGAAAGCGUGGGGAGCAAACAGG